UACGUAGGAAGCAAGCGUUGUCCGGAAUCACUGGGCGUAAAGCGCGUGUAGGCGGUACGGCAAGUCUGCUGUGAAAGCUCUCGGCUUAACCGGGAGAGGUCGGUGGAAACUGCCGCACUGGAGGACGGUAGAGGGGGGUGGAAUUCCCGGUGUAGUGGUGAAAUGCGCAGAGAUCGGGAGGAACACCUGUGGCGAAGGCGGCCCCCUGGGCCGGCCCUGACGCUGAGACGCGAAAGCGCGGGGAGCGAACGGG
rnacentral:rRNA from 1 species